rnacentral:rRNA from 1 species
CCUACGGGAGGCAGCAGUGAGGAAUAUUGGUCAAUGGACGCAAGUCUGAACCAGCCAUGCCGCGUGCAGGAAGACGGCUCUAUGAGUUGUAAACUGCUUUUGUACAGGAGUAAACGCAGAUACGCGUAUCUUUCUGAAAGUAUCUUACGAAUAAGGAUCGGCUAACUCCGUGCCAGCAGCCGCGGUAAUACGGAGGAUUCAAGCGUUAUCCGGAUUUAUUGGGUUUAAAGGGUGCGUAGGCGGUCGGAUAAGUUAGAUGUGAAAGUCUGAGGCUCAACUUCAGAAUUGCAUUUGAUACUGGUAGGCUAGAGAAUAGUUGAGGUAGGCGGAAUGUAUGGUGUAGCGGUGAAAUGCUUAGAGAUCAUAAAGAACACCGAUUGCGAAGGCAGCUUACUAAGCUACUUCUGACGUUGAUGCACGAAAGCGUGGGGAGCAAACAGGAUUAGAUACCCCUGUAGUC